CCUACGGGGGGCAGCAGUGGGGAAUAUUGGACAAUGGGAGAAAGCCUGAUCCAGCCAUGCCGCGUGUGUGAAGAAGGCCUUCGGGUUGUAAAGCACUUUCAGUGGGGAAGAAAGCCUUGGGGCUAAUACCCUCGAGGAAGGACAUCACCCACAGAAGAAGCACCGGCUAACUCCGUGCCAGCAGCCGCGGUAAUACGGAGGGUGCGAGCGUUAAUCGGAAUUACUGGGCGUAAAGCGCGCGUAGGCGGUCUGAUAAGCCGGUUGUGAAAGCCCCGGGCUCAACCUGGGAACGGCAUCCGGAACUGUCAGGCUAGAGUGCAGGAGAGGAAGGUAGAAUUCCCGGUGUAGCGGUGAAAUGCGUAGAGAUCGGGAGGAAUACCAGUGGCGAAGGCGGCCUUCUGGACUGACACUGACGUUGAGGUGCGAAAGCGUGGGUAGCAAACAGGAUUAGAUACCCGAGUAGUC
rnacentral:rRNA from 1 species